rnacentral:misc_RNA from 1 species
GAUGAAGAACGUAGCGAAAUGCGAUAAGUAAUGCGAAUUGCAGAUCUCCGUGAGUCAUUGAAUCUUUGAACGCACAUUGCGCCCUCGUGUAUUCCCGAGGGCAUGCCUGUCCGAGCGUCAUUAUCCAACCAUCAAGCUCGGCUUGCGGUUGAGCCCCGCACCGUCCCCGGGACGGUGGGCUCGAAACAUGUUGGGCGCCCGUGAGGUUGUCGGUGCAGCGAGCUCUCGAGCACGUGUCGGGCAACCGCUCUGGGCGUCGGCCAGCCCCCCCAUUUUCUCAGGUUGACCUCGGAUCAGGUAGGAAUACCCGCUGAACUUAAGCAUAUCAAUAAGCGGAGGA